rnacentral:rRNA from 1 species
AGGUACCGUCACUUUCGCUUCUUCCCUACUGAAAGGGGUUUACAACCCGAAGGCCGUCAUCCCCCACGCGGCGUCGCUGCAUCAGGCUUUCGCCCAUUGUGCAAUAUUCCCCACUGCUGCCUCCCGUAGGAGUCUGGGCCGUGUCUCAGUCCCAGUGUGGCCGGUCACCCUCUCAGGCCGGCUACCCGUCAUCGUCUUGGUGAGCCAUUACCUCACCAACAAACUGAUAGGCCGCGAGUCCAUCCACCACCGAUAAAUCUUUCCAACACCCACCAUGCGAUAAGCGCUCAUAUCCGGUAUUAGCCACGAUUUCCCGAGGUUAUCCCAAAGUGGGGGGCAGGUUACUCACGUGUUACUCACCCGUUCGCCACUA